rnacentral:rRNA from 1 species
GAUAUCUGAUUAGCUAGAUUGGUGGGGUAAAGGCUCACCAAGGCAUCGAUCAGUAGCUGGUCUGAGAGGACGACCAGCCACACUGGAACUGAGACACGGUCCAGACUCCUACGGGAGGCAGCAGUGGGGAAUUUUGGACAAUGGGCGCAAGCCUGAUCCAGCAAUGCCGCGUGAGUGAAGAAGGCCUUCGGGUUGUAAAGCUCUUUUGUCAGGGAAGAAACGGUGAGGGCUAAUAUCCCUUGCUAAUGACGGUACCUGAAGAAUAAGCACCGGCUAACUACGUGCCAGCAGCCGCGGUAAUACGUAGGGUGCAAGCGUUAAUCGGAAUUACUGGGCGUAAAGCGUGCGCAGGCGGUUUUGUAAGUCUGAUGUGAAAUCCCCGGGCUCAACCUGGGAAUUGCAUUGGAGACUGCAAGGCUAGAAUCUGGCAGAGGGGGGUAGAAUUCCACGUGUAGCAGUGAAAUGCGUAGAUAUGUGGAGGAACACCGAUGGCGAAGGCAGCCCCCUGGGUCAAGAUUGACGCUCAUGCACGAAAGCGUGGGGAGCAAACAGGAUUAGAUACCCUGGUAGUCCACGCCCUAAACGAUGUCUACUAGUUGUC